rnacentral:lncRNA from 1 species
UUCAAAAAAUCAGAAUGUGAAUAUAUAUGUUCAAACUCUUUUAGGUCUUUUUUUAGUAGCAAUAAACAAAAAAAACUAUGUUAAUUGGACAUGCUUUGAUACUAUAUAUGCCCUUGAAUUUUUACUAGAUAACAUUUUUGUUCGCUUUGGGGAUUCUGUAUAUCGUCAGAUUAUCGGAAUUCCAAUGGGGACUAACUGUGCACCACUUAUUGCGGACCUGUUUUUGUAUUGUUAUGAGUUACAAUUUAUGACAAAAAUAAGCAAAGACCCAUCGAAACAACAUCUGAUAAACAAAUUUAAUAAUACUUUUAGAUAUUUGGAUGAUAUUUUGGCUCUCUAUAAUGACGACUUC